rnacentral:rRNA from 1 species
AACGAACGCUGGCGGCAGGCUUAACACAUGCAAGUCGAACGCAUCCUUUGGGGUGAGUGGCAGACGGGUGAGUAACGCGUGGGAACGUGCCCUUCAGUUCGGGAUAACCCAGGGAAACUUGGGCUAAUACCGGAUACGUGCGAGAGCAGAAAGAUUUAUCCCUGAAGGAGCGGGCCGCGGCUGAGUAGCUAGUUGGUGGGGUAAGGGCCCACCAAGGCGACGAUCAGUAGCUGGGGUGAGAGGAUGAUCAGCCACAUUGGGACUGAGACACCGGCCAAACUCCUACGGGAGGCAGCAGGGGGGAAUAUUGGACAAUGGGCGCAAGCCUGAUCCAGCCAUGCCGCGUGAGUGAUGAAGGUCUUAGGGUUGUAAAGCUCUUUCGUCCGGGACGAUAAUGACGGUACCGGAAGAAGAAGCCCCGGCUAACUUCGUGCCAGCCGCCGCAGUAA